UCCCAUUCCAUAAAAUUUUCUACUGACUUCUUUUGUAACAUUUCUUUUUUUUACUUUUAUGUUUCAAAGAGACAAAAUAAUGAAGACCCCAAUGAAAAGUGCUCCAAUGAACUUUAUACCAUACUAGAAUGAUUAUCUCUGCAAGAUAUCUAUAAUAGAUAUAGUAUCAUAAGUUUUAAGCUCUAAAUAAUUUCUAACAAAAUAUGUUUCUUGAGCUGCUUUAAGUUACAAUCCAGAAGUAGAUAUCCCUAACUAAAACAUUAGACUUAGAGCUUAUAUCUUAUAAACUAUUGUAAACUAAAAGAAAAGCAGCUUAGCUGUUUUCAACAAAGAACAUAUGUAGAAAGAGAUGGUAUUAUAUCUCUGUAAUAUAUAUCUUAUUGUUCCAA